AAGAAAGCGUGGCCUGUCUGACUCAGACGUUGAAGUUGGUACAGACGCUCGGUGGCCUCUUUCUUCACAGAGGCCCCAGUGUUCCUGAGGGGACUCUACUGGUGUGGCUUCUCAUUUUUCCAAUCCAUUACUGAGUUCCCUUUGUGGCUGUGGCCAGCAGAAAUCUCCAUGAAGUCUUGCUACAGAUGUUCUUUACCUCUGCUGGGACUUUGACCAAGCCAGAUUGCUUGCAGCAUAAGAAUACCCAGUCCCCCCAUAUAUCUGGAAGAAGAAUUGCACUGGUGUGUGCCAGCCGAGGAAGUGGACAGAAGAAGUCUCCGAUGUGACGGGAAAAGCUGGGGAUGUGUCCCAAAUCAGAUGUUUCCAGCCUCACAUUCGCUGAA